GGGAGACUGGGAGGGGUGAUUUGAUGCCUGAUGUCCAUAACCUUGUUAAAAUCUUAAAUAAAACUCUGGGGUUUGAAUAAUUAGCUAAAAUCAAAUUUGAAUAAAAUGCUGCCCUUGCAUCCUUAACUGCCUUCUGGUAAUUUUUCAUGAAGUCUCUCCGGAUUUCAAGGUAAACCACCAGACCAGUUUUCUUCCAUUUAUGUUCAUUUCUUCGACAUGCUCUCUUUAGUUCAUGUGUGACCUCUGUAAGCCAGGGCUGGGUUUUUUUGUUUGUAGCUCCUCUGAAAAAGAAAAGAUCAGAGUCCAGGACAAUUCCAACAUACUGUUAAAAAGAGAGACAAGCUCUUCAGUGUUAAAUACUGGAUUAAACUCUGGGUUGAAGGCAGUUAAAGAUGCAGAGAUAAAGAGCUCCAAAAACUUGCUAGCAGACGAUGCUUUAAAAACCCUUCUAAAAACAGGAGUAUGAUCAGUAGAAGAAGGCUGGGAUAAAGCCAUGGAGAAUAAAACCAGUUUGUGAUCUGACACAUAGAUAUCCUUAGUUAAAAACUCCCCAGGACUAAGUCCAGUAAAUAAUACCAAAUCUAGGCAAUGUCCCUUUACAUGAGUUGGUUCCUGUAUUGCCUGGGUAAGAUUAAAAGAGUCCAGAGUUUCAAUAAAAUCAACAGUCAGGGGUUGUGAGGGACGACAGACAUGCACAUUAAAAUCACCCAAAAUAAAAAUUUUGUCAUACAAAACAGAGCCUGCUGUUUCCACUCUCGCAGCUGUUCCCCCUUCACCCGCCAGGUCUGCUGCUGCUCCUCCUUCACCGUCGGCUGCUUGGCCUCCACCCUCCAUCUCCGAUGUCUCCUGGGCUCGGCUGAGGACCAAACCUAAGGCUCCUUUGAGCUCCACUCCAUCUCAGGAGCACUGGUCUGUGGUCAGCUCCCGUGCCAGCAAACUGAAGAGCCCACCGCAGACCCCGCUUUUCCAACUUCACACAGCUAAUAGAUUUGACAUCCUAGAUCCCAACGAUUUCCCCCCUUCCCAACUGAGUCACAGCCCACCUCCCUGAAGUCCCAGAAGUCCCGCAGUACCCUCUCUCCCCCAGUCCUCGCUCUCAGCUCAGCCAAGCCCACCUACCCUGCCCCUCGUCGCCGCUCCAUACCGCUCCUCACGCCAGCACCGCAGAGAGCUCCGGCUCGCCCCCCCCUCCGACCGCCCCGCUCCUUCCCCCCCACUGUCGUUGGUGGAUACAGAAGCAACCCGCUCGGUGGAAAUAGCUGGGCAGAUAACUGUAAUAAUCGUUCACUUGCGGAUAAAAGCACCAUAAUUGGCACACAUACUCCUUAGAAGUUGCUCUUUUGAUAUUUCCAUCUGGCCAAAUGAAAAUUCAAUAUGGCGGCCAUUUUUCAAGAUGGCCACCAUUGAAAAUACAGUAAUAUUGCAUUUUGCAAUAAAAUCCCAUAGAUUUGUCCUAUUUGGAUGAACUUGGUGUCAAAUCAUACAUUUUCCACUAGCUCUAGGGGUCAUUGAGACACACAAAGUGCCCCACCACGAUAAGGUGGUGAUCCUACUGAGGCAGGUUUUUUUUUUUUUUUUUUUUUUACAUGUAGGCUUUUUGGAUGAGUAGGCUUUUACUACAGCGUUUCUAAACCUCACACCUGCAGCUGCACAAUGCUGUGCAGGUCAGACCAAAGCAGUAACAUUUGUGUGGCAGGCAGCACCUUGCUGCUGUUGAAUGCAGCUCUCCCUCCUCCUCUAACCCCUCCCUUCCCCCAUUGUGGCAGGCAGCACCUUGCUGCUGUUGAAUGCAGCUCUCCCUCCUCCUCUAACCCCUCCCUUCCCCUAAUCAGGUCAGCUGAAUAAAAGGCAGCAGCUCACCUGCAGUCUGCCUUCUGCUCUGCUCAGAGUGCUGGUGUGUAGGGUGGCUGGUAACUUUUAAUCUUUAGAGUUUUAUGGUUGCUUUUAACAGCAUUUCCUUUUUGUUUGUAGGUGGUAGACCUGCUGCUGUUUUGUUGCCCCCAUUAACUGUCGUUAUUUUUGCCUGGUUACUUUGGUUGUUUCUGCCCUUUUGAUUUGUUUCUCCCCUUACUUGGUUUGUUUCUACCUCUAAGUUUGGUUGUUUUACCCAGUUACUCCCCCAUUAGUUUGUAUUCUCUUAGUUACCCUUAGUUGCUUUUCUCCUUAGUGAUUCUAGUUUUACCAACUGGGUUCGCUGUUGCUGGUUUGUUUGUUUCUUUGGUUAAUACUUUUAUUUUAUUUCAGAAGUUGAGCCCACUAGUUUGGGAGGCUAGGCACCCCGGGUGAGGGCCCUCCACCUUUUGCAUGAGUUUGACACAGGGUCGCAAGACUACACCAAUUUGUUUCUUUUUUUUUGAAGGUUUGAAGUGUGUGUGCUGUGCUUCACUUGGUGAGUAUAAGGGAGCACUCCCCUGCACUUUCCCUCUGUAGUCUGCCUCCCUUCUGGUGGCCUUAGCUUAUCUUAAGUUAACUUAGUUUGGGUUUCUUUGAUUUAGUUUAAGUUGGGUUUAUUGUACAUUUUAACUGUUUUUAACUUUUGCAGAAGGCCUUGUUUUAAAUUAUUAUAGAAAUAAAAUUAACCUUCUUGACCCUUAUCGGUGUUUUGUUAUGUUGUUUUAACUUUAUCCCUUUCUUUCCCUCCUAGGUUAAAUUUCUCAGUUAUAUUUAAGUUUAACUUCAUUUUUGGUCUAAUAAACAUUUUGAAAUAUUUUGAACUCUGUCUCUGCCUCUUUCAGAAUUUACCUGUGUUGCCUAAUUCUUAUUUUUGCUUUCUGUUAUGAUUUUAGUCUGAAAGUACAGUUUCCUGGGGUGCAAGUCCCCAGAUGGCAUUGCUGGUUGGAGACAAUAUUAUCUCAUUGUGAACAAAAUAGCACCCCUUGCCACAUUCGCAUCGACCGCAGCAUUCCAACUUGCAUCCACACUUGGCCAGCUGCUGGCAACUCUCUGCAAUGGGUGGGAGCUCUGUCCAAACAAUCUGCCAUGGAUCUCCUUUCUUGUUCCAGCCCCAGUUGGCAGGACUAUGUGUUUCUGGUUGACAUACUAUUGACUGACUCCAGAUGCAGCCCGCUUGGUAGGAUGCGCGCAUGACAUAUUGCUUAAGUGCUGAUCGAGUUGGAGGAGUGGCUUAGUACGGCCUCUGCUUCCGAGCAAACAUGUCCAACCUUGCAUCGUCGACACCUUCAGCUGUACUGGAUCUGUCGUACAACAUGACCACAAACUUCUCUAGGGUUUUCAGGUCUUCAUCAUCCAAUACAGGUGGGUAAUGGCUGAGUUUGCUGAAGACACUGGAAGCCUCAUCACAAACAUUCCCUUUGCCAUGGAAUGCUUCCAGUGAAUGCAUGGAAGAAGAGCAUCCCUUUGCUCUUUUCUGCAAGAGUGCCACACAGGUCAUGAACAGGAAUCCACUUCAGGUUCUGUCUUUGGCCAAAGGCAACCCACAACUGCUGCAGACCGAGGUUCUGAAGUGCCUGCAGAACACUCACUGCGAUGACCACAACAUCUGUGUCGUUGGCUUUGACCAUGAUGACCUUGCUGCCUGCUUCUGUGGCAUGCAUGGCAUGCACAAAGAUCUGGGUGUCAGCUUCUUCAUGACUGCAUGGUGCCACCCCAGCCAGAUUAAUAGUAAUGUUGUAAGAAAGUGUAUGUGUCUCUCUCUCACACACACACUAAACCUCUAACAACAUUAAGAUAUAUGUUACCAACCAUUUUACCCAAGUCGGACAUAAUGUAAACCUCAUAAAUACCAGAAUAUUAGGAUUCUGGGACUGAAAUAUGGUACAAGGAAUCCAGUAAGUAAGUCCAUGGUUCCAAAUUUGGAUACUGCAUAGUGGAAAAUGUUUGAUUUGACACCAAGAUCAUCCAAAUAGGACAAUUCUAUGGGAUUUUAUUGCGAAAUGCAAUAUUACUGUAUUUUCAAUGGUGGCCAUCUUGAAAAAUGGCCGCCAUCUUGAAUUUUCAUUUGACCAGACGGAAAUAUCAAAAGAGCAACUCCUAAGGAGUAUGUGUGCCAAUUUUGGUGCUUUUAUCCGCAAGUGAACGAUUCUCCUGUAAUAUGCUGUUAUCCGCCCUGCUAAAACUGUUCCUCUAGCUACUAGCUCCUCGAGUCCACUCCCGACUUCCUCUCGCCCCCUUUUUCCCCCAUCCUCGUUGAUCGUUGGUGACUACAUUAUCAGGAACACUCGCUUCUUUAACGCAAUUACACACUGUCUCCCCGGGGCUACGUCUCCGACAUUCUUGCGGUGCUCCCCCGUCUGCUACGCUUCCUGCCGCCCUCAGUCCAGAAAAUAAUAAUCCAUGUGGGAACAAAUGAAAAUUUUAAUUUAUUCUGGGACAGAGUUUCAUUUUACAAAUCUGACGGUCUCCAUCCAAACAGGCGGGGCUGCUGCUUCCCAUUGUGGCUAUUCUCCCCCACGGCCGAGCCGGCUCCUCCCCCAUCUGCUUUCUUCUUCAAUGUCACACCUUCCUACUCCUUCUUGCUCAACAGCAAUAAGAUCCAUCUGGUCCACUUCUCGUCACCCUCCACGCUUCACCAGCAAGGCUGUUAACCACAGUGUGUUAGGCCACUUAGCCUGGUCCGCUAACACCUCCACCUGCUCUGACAGCUCCUAACUCAACUUCGCUCUUCUCAACAUCCGCUCACUGACCAACAAGGGACAACUCAUCCAGGACAUCAUCACCGACAAUAAACUGGACUUUCUCUGUUUAACCAAAACAUGGCAACAGCCCAACAACUUCACCCAGCUGAACGAAUCCACUCAUAGUGGGUUUGUUUACAUUUCACAACCCCGUGGCUCUGGCCAGGGGGGAGGUCUCGCAGUAAUUCACCGCGAGAACUGGAAAGUCUUGCCGGUCUCUGUACCUGCUUCCAGCUCGUUAGAGUUCACUGUGUCCGAGCUGGCAGGUCCCACUCCAACCAUCAUUGCCACUGUUUACUGCCCCCCCCCCCCCAAACAGAACAGUGAAUUUUUGAAUGACUUUGCUGCCUUUCUCACCCAUUUAUCAUCUCUCUCACCUAACAGAUUAAUACUGGGUGAUUUCAAUAUCCACAUGGACAAUAUCAACCUGACUCUCACCAACGACUUCACCUCCUGUUUAGAAAGUUUGGGCUGUCAGCAACAUAUCAAUUUCCCCACACACUCCAAAGGACAUAUUCUGGAUUUAAUUUGUCUCCGCCCCCUGGUUCACCCCUGCUCUCCAUCUCAUGAAGGCUAAAGGUCGACAACUGGAAUGCCUCUACAGGAAAACGGGUCUCACUAUUCACAAGGAAAUGUACAAUAACCACAUGUCAGUUUACAAGGACUCAAUCACCAGCACCAAAGCACACUACUACUCCAGGAUAAUCACAGCCAAUCAAGAAAACUCCAAAACACUCUUCUCUCUCCUCAACAAUAUCACCCAACCCCAAGAAUCUCUCCCCUCUCACUGCUACACAGCCUCCUUCUGCAACUCCAUCAUUUCAUUUUUCACUGAAAGAAUCAAAAACAUCCACCAGCACCUCGGAUCAACCCCUCACCCCAGAAUCUCAGCCGACUGGCACCCGCCCUCACACCCAUUCUCCUCCUUCCAUCUCCCCUCCCUCUCUGAGAUCACUGAACUCAUCCAGAAAUCCAAACCAUCCACCUGCCAACCUGACCCCCUCCCCACACAACUUGUUAAAGUCUGCUCCCCCUCCCUGGUCCCCCUCAUCUCUGCCAUCAUCCACUUGUCUCUUACCACCGGAACUGUCCUCGCAUCCCUCAAAACUGCUGCCAUCACCCCAAUUCUGAAAAAACCUGGUGCCUACUGUUCCAACUUCAACAACUUCUGACCCAUAUCCAACCUACCUUUCAUCACCAAAAUCCUCGAAAGAACAGUUGCCUCCCAACUCCAUUCCUACCUAUCCCACAAUAACCUCUACGAACAGUUCCAGUCUGGUUUCUGCCCACUCUACAGCACAGAAACAGCACUCAUCAAAAUCACCAACGACCUUCUCAUGGCAGCUGAUUCUGGACUCCUCACCAUCCUCAUCCUCCUGGACCUAUCUGCAGCUUUUGAUACCAUCUGUCACACCACCCUCCUCCACCGGUUUCGAUACCAUCUGUCACACCACCCUCCUCCACCGGCUAUCCACCAUUGGCAUCACCCACACCCCGUUGAACUCGUUCACAUCAUACCUCUCUGGCCGCACUCAAUACAUCCAACUCAAGUCCCUCAAAUCCACCCCCUCCCCCGUUACCUCUGGUGUGCCCCAGGGCUCUGUCCUGGGGCCUCUACUCUUCAUCAUCUACCUCCUUCCCCUUGGCAAUAUCUUCCGUAAACACAACAUCCAGUUUCACUGUUAUGCCGAUGACACCCAGCUCUAUCUCACCACCAAACCCCCCCUCUCUCCCACCCACCUCCCUUUCUGACUGCAUCACUGAAAUAAAAAACUGGUUCACCCAAAAUUCCCUGAAAUUAAACAGCAAUAAAACCGAGGUCCUCCUAUUUGGCACCAAAUCCACCUUAUCCAAAACCUACAGCUUAUCUCUCAUCUUAUCUAUCGACAACUCCACUGUUUCACCCUACCCCCAAGUCAAGAGCCUGGGUGUCAUCCUGGACAGUACACUAUCUUUUCAAUUCCACAUCAAUAACAUUACCCGGACUGCCUACUUCCACCUACGCAACAUCAAUCGCCGCCGCUCUUCCCUUACCCCCCACCUUGCCGCCAUCCUUGUUCACAGUCUCGUCACUUCCCACCUGGAUUAUUGCAACUCUCUCCUUUUCGGCCUCCCUCAAAAAACCCUCCAUAAACUCCAACUGGUCCAGGAUUCAGCUGCCCACAUCAUAACCUGUACCCCCUUCAUUCACCACAUCACUUCAGUCCUCCAACAGCUCCACUGGCUCCUGGUCCAGUUCCGCAUCCAGUUCAAAGUUCUCCUCCUUACAUUUAAGGCUAUCCACAACCUCGCCCCUUCAUAUCUGUCUGAUCUCCUCCACGUUACAACUCCCUCCCGCACCCUCAGAUCCUCUUCCUCCAUACACCUGUCUGUCCCCCCCGCCUGCCUCAACACCA